UACGGAGGGGGCUAGCGUUGUUCGGAAUUACUGGGCGUAAAGCGCACGUAGGCGGCUUUGUAAGUCAGAGGUGAAAGCCCAGGGCUCAACCCUGGAAUUGCCUUUGAGACUGCAUCGCUUGAACAUCGGAGAGGUAAGUGGAAUUCCGAGUGUAGAGGUGAAAUUCGUAGAUAUUCGGAAGAACACCAGUGGCGAAGGCGACUUACUGGACGAUUGUUGACGCUGAGGUGCGAAAGCGUGGGGAGCAAACAGG
rnacentral:rRNA from 1 species